rnacentral:rRNA from 1 species
AACGAACGCUGGCGGCGCGCCUAACACAUGCAAGUCGAACGAGAAUCCGGGGCAACCCGGUAGUAAAGUGGCAAACGGGUGAGGAAUGCAUGGGUAACCUGUCCUUGAGAAGGGAAUAACCCGCCGAAAGGUGAGCUAAUACCCUAUACGCUUUGCUUUUUUGAAAAGUGAAGGAAAGUCAAGCCGUGGGCUUGGCGCUCUCGGAGGGGCUCAUGUCCUAUCAGCUUGUUGGUGGGGUAACGGCCUACCAAGGCUACGACGGGUAGCUGGUCUGAGAGGAUGAUCAGCCACACUGGCACUGAGAUACGGGCCAG